AAAUAUUAAAGGGACACUAUAGUCACCUGAACAACUUUAGCUUAAUGAAGCAGUUUUGGUGUAUAGAUCAUGCCCCUGCAGCCUCACUGCUCAAUCCUCUGCCAUUUAGGAGUUAAAUCCCUUUGUUUGUGAACCCUAGUCACACCUCCCUGCAUGUGACUUGCACAGCCUUCCAUAAACACUUCCUGUAAAGAGAGCCCUAUUUAGGCUUUCUUUAUUGCAAGUUCUGUUUAAUUAAGAUUUUCUUAUCCCCUGCUAUGUUAAUAGCUUGCUAGACCCUGCAAGAGCCUCCUGUAUGUGAUUAAAGUUUAAUUUAGAGAUUGAGAUACAAUUAUUUAAGGUAAAUUACAUCUGUUUGAAAGUGAAACCAGUUUUUUUUUUUCAUGCAGGCUCUGUCAAUCAUAGCCAGGGGAGGUGUGGCUAGGGCUGCAUAAACAGAAACAAAGUGAUUUAACUCCUAAAUGACAGUGAAUUGAGCAGUGAAAUUGCAGGGGAAUGAUCUAUACACUAAACCUGCUUUAUUUAGCUAAAGUAAUUUAGGUGACUAUAGUGUUCC